AACGAACGCUGGCGGCAUGCCUAACACAUGCAAGUCGAACGAACCCUUCGGGGUUAGUGGCGCACGGGUGCGUAACGCGUGGGAAUCUGCCCUUUGCUUCGGAAUAACAGUUAGAAAUGACUGCUAAUACCGGAUGAUGUCUUCGGACCAAAGAUUUAUCGGCAAAGGAUGAGCCCGCGUAGGAUUAGGUAGUUGGUGGGGUAAAGGCCUACCAAGCCGACGAUCCUUAGCUGGUCUGAGAGGAUGAUCAGCCACACUGGGACUGAGACACGGCCCAGACUCCUACGGGAGGCUGCAGUGGGGAAUAUUGGAAAAUGGACGCAAGUUUGAUCCAGCAAUGCCGCGUGAGUGAUGAAGGCCUUAGGGUUGUAAAGCUCUUUUCCCAGGGAUGAUAAUGACAGUACCUGGAGAAUAAGCUCCGGCUAACUCCGUGCCAGCCGCCGCCGUAACAC
rnacentral:rRNA from 1 species